UUAAGUCCCUUUUUCCAAAUAUAAUACUCCACUGCCUACGCCAUUAUGCAAUAUAUAUGUAUACGUAUGUAGAGGUGGACUUUGGGAGGAAAAUAACAUUUAUUACUCAAUAUUUUGAGAGAAAUUGUAUAACAUUUUCGUUCAUAUUCAAGCAACAAGAAGUUGCUGAAGUUUUUUUUUAUCGUUCUUUUGUAAUUGAGAAAGCAUUCUUGGUCUCUUUCCUAAAAAAAAAAAAAAAACAAAUACAACAUAGCAGCCCCUCGUGUUCUAAGCUAACGUUCCAACAAGAAAAUGGGGGUUUUUCCGACGGAAAGAGCUGCUCCAAGAUCAAGCAUAGUUAUGCUCCUCCGUCGAUUUCAUGAUUAUAAUUUCGGUCCCCUCCGAAUCGUAGCAAUUUCGGGAUUACUUUGUGUUGAAGUUGAAGCUUUCUUCUAGUUGAAGUAUCCUAAGAUUAAAGUUGUUCUUGUGUGAUUGAGGUAAUAUUACAUCUUUUCUAUAUGUUCUUGAGUUAGUUUGGUCAUUAGUCAACUUGUAAGAUAAAGGAAUUGUGGAAGACAAGUUAGGAUACCUACUAGAGCUCUUGUUAGUUUUGUGGGCCGAUUUGGAAUAUGAUCUUGAGUCAUUAAGGCUGGAUUUUAUAAAAUAGGUUGAGGUUGAUGUUGUUGUUAAGUUGUUGUUCUUGAAUUUGGUAGAAGAAAGUGUAUAAAAACAUCGUAUACCAAGCGUAUAUUGGGCUGUUUUGGCUUAUAUCUUUGGAAGUUGAUGUUUUGAGUUUAAAGACGCUUAUAUGAGGUUGUUGUUGAUGUUAUACUUGUUGUGCAGCUCUGGUUGUUGUUAUUGUUGUGAAUAUGUGGAGUUGGAGGAAGUCAAUGUUAUAGGGGAGAUGCUGCCCAAAUUUAUAUAGACAAAUUACUAACGUUGAGAUUCUACUAAGUCUCUUUAUGGUGUUAAUCAUGGACCUAAAUGUAGAUUGAAUUGUAUUGUGGACUGCUUUUGAAAGCAUUGGGGAGACAAGGAGAUUCAGGUAUGUGAAGCUAACCGUUCUUUCUUUUUGGCAUGAUCUAUGUGAGACAAACAGACGACGAAUGUAUAAACUCCAAAGAAACUCCUACUCUUAGAGACACUAGGAUGGUUAAUGUUCUUGAUUUCCAGAAGCUAUUUCAUUGUGUCUUGAUACGUGUCUAUGAUUCCAGAAGUCCUAUUUUGAUAUAAUCCAUAAUGACAUUCGAGGGGUACUUGACAUGACUGUUGUCUUUGAUUCUCAAGUGUUGUUAGUUCAUUCUAAUUAUUCUAUUGAGUCUCAGAUUAUGAUUUAGUUUGCAUAUGGUUGCUCACUACUCUGCUCGUGCAUGCCGUAAUGUAUCUUUCACCGAGUCCCGGGCCAGGUACAAACACUCAGUCCGAUGAUCCUCCAGAUUAGGACUUCUGCUCAGCUGUAUGGAGAACUCCAUUGUCCGGAGCCUAGAUAUUCUGGUACAGAUCUUCUGAUAUAGACUUAUAUAUAUUCAGGGGUACGGCGGGGCCCUGUCCCGUCAUAUUUCACUCUUAUAACUCUUAGAGGUCUGUAAACAUAUGUAGGUUGUAUAUGGGUUAUGCUCAGCCGUGUCGAUAUGAUUUGUUCUGGAUAUUCCCGUAUGUAGUGGCAGCCUUGUCGGCUUGCAUAUUAUGUCGUGCUUUGGUUAGCUGUGACUCCUCAGGAGACAGGUUAUUAUGAUAUAUGGAGUUAUGAAUCUUUCGGUUGCUUUUACAA